GCCGCUUUAGCUCAGUCGGCAGAGCAUCUCACUCGUAAUGAGAAGGUCGUCAGUUCGAUUCUGACAAGCGGCUCC
rnacentral:tRNA from 1 species